rnacentral:rRNA from 1 species
CUUGACAGCCAUAUCACCCUGCAGCCCAAGACCGGUUACUCACUGAAGCUAAGCAGGGCUGAGCCUGGUCAGUACCUGGAUGGGAGACCACUAGGGAACACUAGGUUGCUGUUGGAA